UCCUGCAUAUUGUCAAGCUGAGCCCCAGCAAAGCUCUGCUACGUCAGCUGCUGGACCUUGUGUGUGAGGGGAUUGAAGAGGGGGUGCUGAGGCACGCAGAGUCCCUGUGCAGAGCCCUGGAUGGAGAGCUGGACCUCAGUGAGACCAGGCUGGACCAGAAGGCCUGUGGAUCUCUGGCCCUGGUUCUGGAACAUUCAGAGGGGCUGUCAGAACUGGACCUCAGCCACUGUCAACUCACAGACCACCACCUACAGCCCCUGAUCACACACCUGCACAAAGUACAAGUCCUGGACCUGAGUCAUAAUGACAUCACUGAUGCUCUGACUGACAGAAUACUCCAACUGGUCUCCAUCAACACUUCAAUCCACACCGUACGACUCUUCAACAACAGAAUCCAGUACAGAAGACCCUUCCUGACAGACAAGAGGUUUGAGAUCUGGUGAAGAUAAUGUUGUAUAAUGACAGUAUAAUGUGGUCAAUGUAGAAGGCUGGUUUGAGAUCUGGUGAAGAUAAUGUUGUAUAAUGACAGUAUAAUGUGGUCAAUGUAUAUAAAAGGCUGGUUCAAAAUCACACUGAUUGAUCUGAGUCCAGAAAAAUAGUCUUAGGGACAGGAAUGUAUAAUCUGGUGGACAGACGUCUUACAUGUGUUGUCACUCAGGUCCUUAAAAACACAGGAACAUGUGUAUUAUAACUGUAGGAUAGGAAUAUGUAGUUUUAUUUACCACUAACAGUUGAUACGUCUGUACUGUCAUUAAGAUCCUUAAAAACACAGGAACAUGUGUAUUAUAAUUGUAGGAUAGGAAUAUGUAG